rnacentral:rRNA from 1 species
GAUGAACGCUGGCGGCGUGCUUAACACAUGCAAGUCGAACGGUGAAGCAGAGCUUGCUCUGUGGAUCAGUGGCGAACGGGUGAGUAACACGUGAGCAAUCUGCCCCUGACUCUGGGAUAACAGUUGGAAACAGCUGCUAAUACCGGAUACGAGCUGCGAAGGCAUCUUCGGCAGCUGGAAAGAAUUUCGGUCAGGGAUGAGCUCGCGGCCUAUCAGCUUGUUGGUGAGGUAAUGGCUCACCAAGGCGUCGACGGGUAGCCGGCCUGAGAGGGUGACCGGCCACACUGGGACUGAGACACGGCCCAGACUCCUACGGGAGGCAGCAGUGGGGAAUAUUGCACAAUGAGCGCAAGCCUGAUGCAGCAACGCCGCGUGAGGGAUGACGGCCUUCGGGUUGUAAACCUCUUUUAGCAGGGAAGAAGCGAAAGUGACGGUGCCUGCAGAAAAAGCACCGGCUAACUACGUGCCAGCCGCCGCUGUAAUAC